AUCGAAAGAAACGGAGGCAAAGAGAGAAAGCAGAGAAGCGGCAUUUUGUACGGAACGUUAUCAAACGUUAAAGCUUUGUGGCAGGAAGUUGUCAAUCAAGCACCAAAAAUCAAUGACCUGAAAGAAAGAUGGCCUGCUCUUUUUGAUGCAGUUCAGAUAAACCAAGAAUUCAGAAGGAUCACCACUGUUAACCUGGAAACAACAUUCAUGGCAAAGCUGGACCAGUACUCUCAGAAAAUAAUGUCCUUGCUGUCCUCAAGAGGAGGGGCUGCAAAAAUGCGCAUUCGGCGCAUCCAGAACAUGCUGCUAAAGGAUGAUUCUGUGGAGAGAAGGCGAGAGGUCGCUAUCCGUGGCUUAGUGGUGUAUCUCAGGGAAAAGGAGGAGGAUCUCUUCAAAGAGCAGGAUGGUGGCGGGGAUAUUACCAAUGAAGUGAUGAAGAUUGUAACCAGAGGUGCCACAACGUCUGAUCCAGCCAACGCAAGGAUCAUACUUGAAGGAACAGAAGUCCUAGCAGACCUGGAUGUACCCAGAGCCUGUGCCUUGCUAAUGGGGCUGAUAUAUGCACUCAACCUCAGCUACCCAAAAGAACUGAAAAACACUUUUGAAGUGUUUCAAAAGAUAUUCCUCGAGCUGGAUGAUCUGAAAGCCAGUCCUAAGGUAAUGUCACUAAAAAGUAAACUGUUGUACUAAAAAAAUGUGAAGAGUGAGGCUAUCCUCAAAUUAAAUGGGAAAUGUUCCACUGUUGUUUGCAAUGUGUUGUUACAUACUGUACAGUAGGCAGUAGGUGUAAAGUUGAGCGUUGAGCAUUAAGUACACCUAGUUCAAAAUAAUGCACUUUAAAAGGAUAGCUCGGGUCUUUUGAAGUGAGGCUGUAUAUGAGGUACAUAUGUAUAGUGAGUGUAUUACACACAGUAGAUGGCAGUCAGUAAGCUCCACCUACGGAGAAGCAGACGGGGCCACCGGCAUGCAAGAUGAGCCUCCAUCCUAAUAAAACUGAUGUCAGUUUAAAUGUACAUUAUAUCAAGAAUAUGUUUACUGCUUUAUUUUGCUAUCAGACAGCCUUUUCUGUGAGGAAAGAGAAGUUCUAC
ensembl:lncRNA